AGUUAAAAAUUUCAUUCAUUUGUACCGUUAAAAACUGACAUGAUUGACAGAAGAAUCAAACAAUGACACGUGGUGUGCCACAUGUACCCCUUACUGAUAUGCAUAGUCCAGUUUUUAACAGCAGAAGUGGAUAAAAUUUUUAACA
rfam:Gossypium hirsutum cultivar TM-1 unplaced genomic scaffold scaffold3945.1, whole genome shotgun sequence